rnacentral:tRNA from 1 species
GGAAGUAUUGAGCAAUUGGCUGGCUCGCCUGACUGUAAAUCAGGUUCAGAAAUGACAUGUAGGUUCAAGUCCUACUACUUCCA